UUCUUAUUAGAUGAUGACUGUCAUAUAUCAUGUUUUAAUUGGAUGUCGAAUCCAUGAAAGAUGAAAUGCAUUAUUGUUGUCAUUGGUCAAUCAGAACAUGACACGUGACAGUCAACAUUC
rfam:Glycine soja cultivar W05 scaffold1888_15, whole genome shotgun sequence.